GCCCCUGUCGCCGCCUAAAACUUGCAGCUGUGCCCGCCUUGAACAAUCGCUGCACGGCUGCUCAGCUCACGAUGAUGCGCGGGUGAUACGAGCAGCACCGUCAUCGUGGGAUCCGAGCACGCUGCGACUCUGAAUUUAUCAAUUGAUUUCCUUCAAAAAAAAUUAUCAACUGACAGCGGCGGCACAUGUCCAUUUCAGUGCCCUGUCAUUGUGCUCUCCUUCUCGAUUCUUGUUCUGAUCCGAAGAAGCGGAGAGGAUAGCCGGCGCUACUCGUUAGGUCGUGACAAGUCCACGUCGUAGUAGUGGCUGGCUUUGGGGGGGUUUGGAAUUCCCAAGAGCCGUGCAGUUUCACGGCAUGAACUUUGGUGUUCUUUUUGAAAAUAGGAACUUUGGCGUUCUGGGCAGGGGGGUUUUGUUCGGAGACAUAUCUGGUGCAAUUACGGAACUGGUGAAAUCACCGUGCAAUCCGACUAAAAAGCAAGCCAUUUGACCUGCUCUUUUGUGGGAGGAGAACAGGGAAAAGUCGUCGUUGGUCGUUGAUGUUUCAUUUACCGAGCUGGGUACCUGACAGGGUUCACCUUACCGACGGUAAAGCAAUUUUCGCCAACUAGCGGUAUCGGUAAACCGGCAGUAAAUCGCCGAAAACCGCUAGAAACCGCUCGAAAUGACAAUUCAAAUUCAAAAAACCGGUAACCGUUGUUUACCGACCGGUAAUCGAUGUUUACCGACCGGUAACCGUCGUUUUUAACCGGUAAACACCAUAUGACUUUGGAAAAUUAAAAAUUUUGGCAGCAUUUCACCGUAAUUUUGUAAAUAUCAUUACUGAUGGUAUAUAUCAAACAAUUAUAUAACAUUUACACAUACAUAGAAUAGAAGUUCAUAUCCAUAAAAAUAGAAAUUCACAUCCAUAGUCCAUAUAGAUCAUCACAACAAUAGUCCAUGCAAAUCAUCACAACCAUAGUCCUCACAAACCAUCAUCGUCAAUAUAUAUAAUACAUAGUAGUGGUUUCCGGUCCAAAUGAACAAAUGAACAAAUGAAAAUAUAUGUACAUAUUUGAAAUAUGAACACACAUAUAUACAUAUAGCUAAAAUGAACAAAUUAACAUCCAACUACCAUGAACAAAUGGAUCCAUAUAGCUAAUAUGAACACAUGUUUUUGAAUAUAGCUACACAACAAACAUCUAAAAAUCAAUGUAAAUUCAAGAAAUACUCACAAUGCAGUGUUUCCGGUCCAAACGCGCCGAUUUCCGCUCGGAAAACGCCGAAUAGCGCUCGGGAUUAGAGGAUACCGCUCGGGAUUACCGGUCCGAAAGUUUU